CCUACGGGAGUCAGCAGUGGGGAAUAUUGCGCAAUGGGGGAAACCCUGACGCAGCAACGCCGCGUGAGUGAGGAAGGACUUCGGUCUGUAAAGCUCUGUUAAUGAGGAAAAAAUGGUAGUUGGUCUAAUAGGCCGAUUAUUUGAUGGUACUCAUAGAGGAAGCACCGGCUAACUUCGUGCCAGCAGCCGCGGUAAUACGAAGGGUGCAAGCGUUGUUCGGAUUUAUUGGGCGUAAAGCGCGCGUAGGCGGACCUGCAAGUAAGAUGUGAAAUCUCGAGGCUCAACCUCGAAACUGCGUCUUAAACUACAGGUCUAGAAUCUCGGAGGGGGAAGGGGAAUUUCGCAUGUAGGGGUAAAAUCCGUAGAUAUGCGAAGGAACACCAGAGGCGAAGGCGCCUUCCUGGACGAGUAUUGACGCUGAGGCGCGAAAGCGUGGGGAUCAAACAGGAUUAGAUACCCUGGUAGUCCACGCUGUAAACGAUGAACACUAGGUAUUGGAGGAUUUGACCCCUUCAGUGCCGUAGCUAACGCGUUAAGUGUUCCGCCUGGGAAUACGGUCGCAAGCUAAAACUCAAAUGAAUUGACCGGNNGAGAGNGCGACGACGACGACGAGGGAGAGG
rnacentral:rRNA from 1 species